rnacentral:rRNA from 1 species
GCUAAUACCCGAUGUGCCGCAAGGUGAAACCUAAUUGGCCUGGAGAAGAGCUUGCGUCUGAUUAGCUAGUUGGUGGGGUAAGAGCCUACCAAGGCGACGAUCAGUAGCUGGUCUGAGAGGAUGAGCAGCCACACUGGGACUGAGACACGGCCCAGACUCCUACGGGAGGCAGCAGUGGGGAAUUUUCCGCAAUGGGCGAAAGCCUGACGGAGCAACGCCGCGUGAGGGAGGAAGGUCUUUGGAUUGUAAACCUCUUUUCUCAAGGAAGAAGUUCUGACGGUACUUGAGGAAUCAGCCUCGGCUAACUCCGUGCCAGCAGCCGCGGUAAUACGGGGGAGGCAAGCGUUAUCCGGAAUUAUUGGGCGUAAAGCGUCCGCAGGUGGUCAGCCAAGUCUGCCGUCAAAUCAGGUUGCUUAACGACCUAAAGGCGGUGGAAACUGGCAGACUAGAGAUCAGUAGGGGUAGCAGGAAUUCCCAGUGUAGCGGUGAAAUGCGUAGAGAUUGGGAAGAACAUCGGUGGCGAAAGCGUGCUACUGGGCUGUAUCUGACACUCAGGGACGAAAGCUAGGGGAGCGAAAGGGAUUAGAUACCCCUGUAGUC